GGAGGACUUCGCUGAAGCAACGCUUAUGUUUGAGUGGAACUCCCUGAGCCUCCUGAGAAACACUCCCCUGAGAUCUGAGAACUACUCACCUGAGACCAUCUGCACGCUGCCUGUCUGCCUCCUCCACAAACCUGUAAAUAUUCACCUGUACACCUGCACCUGUAAAUACACCUGGAACCUCACCUUCAGAGCUGAAGACUCUGCACCCACCUAUCCCGACCCCAUCCUUCCCUGGUUUAAAUAA